rnacentral:rRNA from 1 species
AAACUUGAGAGUUUGAUCAUGGCUCAGAACGUACGCUGGCGGCACGCCUUAUACAUGCAAGUCGAACGAAGUAGCAAUACUUAGUGGCAGACGGGUGAGUAACAUGUGGGUAUCUUCCCUUUGGUGAGGAAUAACACGAGGAAACUUGU